GUUUUUGGCUUCUUGUUCCUUUGCUCCACCCGUCCCUGUGUGCUGAGGCACAACAGUCCACUGGAGUGGGAGUUUCCAAAUCAGAUGUGUCAGCUUUUCCUAACAACUCGCAGAGUGAUUAAAGAAUUUUAAAGCAAGUAAUUUCACUGUGACUCCCCUAGGUUAUGAGCAGCCCAAGAGGAGGAACAAUGGUAGCUCCAGAAGUUCUAACAGGAAGAGGAAAGGGUCAGAGAUUUUAUUAAGAAAAGAAUUUUGGAGGAGUAAUCAGCGGAUUUGACUUGAAACAAUAGCUGCAGAAUAUGUUUAAUUUUGAAGAUCUACACUUUUAUUUCAGAGAAGUAUGGAGGGGCACAAUGAGUAAAUACAAAUGUUUGGUCCACUAUCUUGGAUCAGAAGGCUAGCCGAACAUCUUGGAUUCCACUGAGCUAAUUGACAUUGUAUAAUAAUGAAAAAAAUAAACAAAUUUCUCAAGACUCAAAAUAUCUAAGAAUGUAGGUCAAGAACAUUUAAGAGGGGGAAGAUGGGUGUAAAUAUCUGAGAACAUUCUGGGGAAAGGAGUUACAGUGAUGAACAAAGAAGACAUAUUUGAGAAGUGAAGAAUACAGACAAGUAAGCAGACAAAUACGAGACCGUGAUAAACCCUACCAUGAUCCAAUGAUCAGGUGCUAUGGGAACAUAAAGACAGACAUAUGCUUGGAACGAGGAGUCAGGAAAAUGUUCCCAGGGGAAAUGACAUCUCUGAAACCUAAAGGAUUUGAGAGGAACUCAUCAUGGCUGAGACAUCAUCUGUGAGGUGGAGAAUUGUGAGGCCUGAGGCAGGAGACAUAAGCAGAAAAAUUAUAAAGGAACAUCUGCCCCCACACUAGAGAGCUUGAACUUGACCAUGAGGGCAAAGAGAAGAGCAACUAAAGGGGUUGAGAUUGGGAUGCAACAAGGUCUGAUUUGCAUUUGAGAAAGAUCUCUCUUGCUAUAAUAUGUGGAAUGUGUUAAGAGAUGAAAACAACUGGGCACCUGGUGCUGGGAACUCAGAUAGGAGUCUGUGACCAUAACCCAGGAAAGCGGGGAGAAGGCCUUAGACUAAAAUAGUAGCAGUAGACUAGAGACAAGUGGAUAGAAUCAAUCUGGAGGGCAUGUCUGUGGCAGAGUCCACAAGGGUAGGAGGAAGGGCAUAAAGCUGUAGGCUAAAUGUGCUUUUUUAUCGGAGUCUGAGGACCCCAGAAUGUUCAGCUGCUCAGAGCAGGGCUUCCUGUGGGCUCCUUCUGUUUGCAGCCUGUUUCACCUUUCACAACGCAGCAUUAUUUGGUCUCCCCCUUUCCACAAAGGGCCUGUUCUCUGAACCUCUGUGGUCCAUUUUCCAUCUCCCUCCAACCCCACCUGAAACAGUGGCCUUUCCUCCUCACCUUCCCACCCACCCCAACCCUGUACACUUCCCAAAGCCCAAGAUAGUCCCUAUGGAGUGACUUCUUGAGGGCUUCUAUUGAAAAGGCAGGGAUAGCCCUUGACUCUAUAGAGUUGACGGCAGAUAGUGGAUGAUGGAGGGAGAGAGGUAAUCCAGGAAACUGGUCCUUUUUAAGAUUGUAGUGGUUUAGGAUGCUAAAGCCAGAGGAUCACUUAAGGCCAGGAGUGAGUUCAAGACCAGCCUGAGUAACAUAGCAGUACUCCCAUCUCCCAUCUCCACAACAAACAAACAAAACAUUAGUUGGGCAUAAUGGCACGUGCCUGUAAUCCCAGCUACUCAGAAGGGAGGAUCACUUGAGCCCAGGAAUUAGAGGCUGCAAUGAGCUAUGGUCAUGCCAUUGUAUUCCAGCCUAGGAGGCAAAGUGAGACCCUGUCUCUUCUCUUUUGUUUAUUUUAUAGAUGGUCCAUCAGUCACUAGUGAAAAAAUUUAUAUACGUGCACAUGCAUACACACAGGCAUACUGAUACAGUUUGGCUGUGUCCCCACCCAAAUCUCAUCUUGAAUUGUAGCUCCCAUAAUCCCCAUGUGUCUUGAGGGGAGCUGGUGGGAGGUAAUUGAAUCAUGGGGAUAAGUUUUUCCCAUGCUGUCCUUGUGAUAGUGAAUAAGUCUCGUGAGAUCCGAUGGUUUUAUAAAGGGCAAUUCCCCUGCACACACGCUCUUGCCUGCCACCAUGUAAGAUGUGCCUUUGCUCCUCCUUCACCUUCCACCAUGAUUGUGAGGCCUCCACAGCCAUGUGGAACGGUGAGUCCGUUAAACCUCUUUUUCUUUAUAAAUUACCGUCUCGGGCAUUUCUUCACAUAGCAGUAGGAAAAUGGACUAAAACACACACAAAGCUCCAACAUACACAUACACACACACCCUCCAAAGGACAAUUAUUAAUUCUCAAAUAUAUACAGCCUAUAAAAUAAGAAAAAAUAAACAUUUUCCUAACUGCCUCAUAAUUUGCAAGUCACCUUUCUUACACAUAGAGUCAGUGUUUUAUUUCCUCCUUCUUCACUUUCAAUUUGUGCUUCUUCAUUCCUAGCAGGAAUAAGAAAGAGCCUACUGCUGAGUUAAAACACCUCUUCAUAAUUACUUCCAAGAGAUAGGAUCUUGUUCUGUUGCCCAGGCUAGAGUGCAGUGGCAGGAUCAUAGCUGACUGUAUCUUCAAACUCCUGAGCUCAAGCGAUCCUCCCGCCUCAGCUUCCCAAGUAGUGCGGAUUACAGGCUUGAGCCACUGCACCCCGCUCCGGUUUGGGGCCUAGAAGAAGAAACAUCUCCAACUCUGUGACCCAAAUUUUCAGUAUUCAAACGUGUGCCUAAAAUGUAGAGAAGCAGUUGAGGCAGAAUUGUGGAAUAGAAAUAGAACAGCCUGGAUUUAAAUCCCAGUUCUGAACUCACUACCUCUGCUGACCUUUGGCAAGAGACCUUACCCUUGAGGAUCCUCAGACCAACUUGCUCUAAGAUGGGACAGAAUCUACUUCACAAGGCUGUGAGACUUAAGCUGAAAACAGUGCCUGGCUUGGAGCAAGCCCUUACUAAAUGGUGUCUACUGUUGUUUGUGGACAUUGUUAAUGUAUUUAUUACUAUGGCUUAUAGUGAGACCAAAGCGCCAACUUUGGUCAGCCUUCCACAUCACUGCUAUAAACUUCUAAAAUUAACAGUUUAACUUGCAUAGUUUUGGUUCCUACACUUCUGUGAACAUCCACUAUAUGGAUCAGAGAAGAAUAAUAGAAAUCUAAAUGAAG
rnacentral:lncRNA from 1 species